AGUGGCUCCUUCAGCAGAGAGGAGCUGACCAAGUAUCUGCUCCAUGCCAGCGCCAUCUGCUCCAAGCUGGGCCUGGCUUUCCUGCACGCCUUCCAGGAGGUCACCUUCCGCAAGCCCACCUUCUGUCACAGCUGCAACGGCUUCGUGAGCACUGGCCCUGUUAGCACCCUUGGGUCCCGUCUCCCCUUGGGCCAGUUUUUUUUUUUUUUAGGAGGGGGGGACUUCCAGAAAUGCUCCAGUGUCAGAUAUUCCACAGAGUUCAUAUAAGCACCAUACACUU
rnacentral:lncRNA from 1 species